rnacentral:rRNA from 1 species
GUACAUGGCUGUACCUCCCUGAACAUACCACCCAAUCUUGUCCAAUCUGGGAAGUUAAAGAGGAGUGAGCCUGCUUAGCACUUGGGUGAGAAAAUAAGUGAGUGAGUCCAAUUGUGAAUA